rnacentral:rRNA from 1 species
UACCUGAAGAAUAAGCACCGGCUAACUACGUGCCAGCAGCCGCGGUAAUACGUAGGGUGCGAGCGUUAAUCGGAAUUACUGGGCGUAAAGCGUGCGCAGGCGGUUCUGUAAGAUCGAUGUGAAAUCCCCGGGCUUAACCUGGGAACUGCAUUGAUGACUGCAGAGCUUGAGUGUGGCAGAGGGGGGUGGAAUUUUGCGUGUAGCAGUGAAAUGCGUAGAUAUGCAAAGGAACACCGAUGGCGAAGGCAGCCCCCUGGGCCUGCACUGACGCUCAUGCACGAAAGCGUGGGGAGCAAACAGGAUUAGAUACCCUGGUAGUCCACGCCCUAAACGAUGUCAACUAGUUGUUGGAGAGAUAUAUCUUCAGUAACGAAGCUAACGCGUGAAGUUGACCGCCUGGGGAGUACGGCCGCAAGGUUGAAACU